CGCACGGGUGAGUAACACGUAUCCAACCUGCCGUCUACUCUUGGACAGCCUUCUGAAAGGAAGAUUAAUACAAGAUGGCAUCAUGAGUUCACAUGUUCACAUGAUUAAAGGUAUUCCGGUGGACGAUGGGGAUGCGUUCCAUUAGAUAGUAGGCGGGGUAACGGCCCACCUAGUCUUCGAUGGAUAGGGGUUCUGAGAGGAAGGUCCCCCACAUUGGAACUGAGACACGGUCCAA
rnacentral:rRNA from 1 species